UUAUUUCAAGAUAGGGUCUCACUAUGUAAUCCAGGCUGGCCUCGAAUUCAUAGCGACCUUGUUUUUCUGAUCCAAUCAUCCUUGACUUACCUGAGCCACCUCAGGGUAAAGAGGAAGGCCUAUGCUCUCCGGGUUCCCAGCGCUGAGUGUUCACUAGUGCGCGGUGGAGCUCCCGUCUGCCUGCUCAGCCCAGCCGGAGGCAGUAGCCGAGAAGAAAUACAGACAAGGGCCUGCCCCUCUCCUGGGGUUACAUCCAAAUUCCGAGGCCUGGUUAUGCAGAUCUCCCCCAUCUCGAUCCCUCUUUUUCUGCCUUAGCCCAGGCUCUACAUUUUCCCAUCUCCCUGCCUCCUUAUUUUCUGAGUCUUUCUCUUACACAUCUCUCCCCACAGCUGUCCCAGAUGCGAUCUAAACUUCUCCAGGGUAUUAGGGUGGCAGCACAGAGCUGGGCACCAGGGGCAGGCGCCCCAUUCCCUCUGGUCUCCAGUGCGCCCUGUGCGCCCGGGACUUUGGGCAGGCCCCGCCUGUGAGUCCAGCGCAGAUGCAGGCAGGUGGAGAGGGCUUGGUGAGGAGCCCUGCGCCGGGCGGGGCAGAAAGUGCUUCCUCAGUUUCCCUGCUAGCUCGGGGCGGGCCUCAGGGAGGCCAGGCCCAGCUGGAGCAUCCGAGCAGCCCAGGGAGUGGGGAGGGGGUGGCGGGAAAUGGUGCCUCGUUCGCCCCAGCGACAUCAAACCCUCGUUUGGCGCGCGAGGACAAUGGCUGUCUUAUUUUCUCCAUUCGCCGCGCACAAGGCCGGAUUCUCUCAUUCACCCGCGGUGGUGCGAGCGAGAUGAGAAAACCAAGGUUGAACUGAAAAGGCACAUCAGGAACCUGUGACAGAGUCCAGCAAAAUCCCAGCUUGGCUGUCCCUUACCUAAACCCUACUCUGUUAAUCCCUUCAAAUCCUAAUAUACGGCUCUGGAAAUUUG